CUAUACAUGACUCUGCGCAUAUCAAUAAGCGGAGGAAAAGAAACUAACAAGGAUUCCCCUAGUAACGGCGAGUGAAGCGGGAAGAGCUCAAAUUUGAAAUCUUAAAGGGUUUCCCUUUACGAAUUGUAGUUUAAAGAAGUGUUUUCUGUUGAGGUUUUGGUAAAAGUUCUUUGGAAUAGGACAUCAUAGAGGGUGAGAAUCCCGUAUUUGACCUUUACUUUCAACUUUGUGAUACACUUUCAAAGAGUCGGAUUGUUUGGGAAUGCAGUCCAAAAUGGGUGGUAAAUUUCAUCUAAAGCUAAAUAUUGGCGAGAGACCGAUAGCGAACAAGUACCGUGAGGGAAAGAUGAAAAGAACUUUGAAAAGAGAGUUAAACAGUACGUGAAAUUGUCAAAAGGGAAGCGUUUGUACACCAGUGUUGUUUUUCUGAAAAUCAAUUAAAGAACUGUUUAUGCUAAGUUGUUUAGACUUUAUCAGCUAACUGUUUAGUUUUGAGCUUUUCUUUAAUGCACUUUUCAGUUAACAAGUCAACAUCAAUUUCUUUUGCUGUAAAAAAGCUUGAGGAAGGUGGCUUGAGAUUCGUCUUAAGUGUUUAUAGCCUCUUGCCUAUGCAGUCGGAGAGAUUGAGGUCUGCAGCGUAGAUCCUUCGGGGCUAAAUGCAUUUGUGCUAAGUUAUAGCAUUUUAUAGACAACUUGUUGACUAUGAUUUGUCUUGUAGCUUACUCGCUUAUGUUAUUUUACCUACGCUUAGGAUGUUGACAGCAGUAUAGACUG
rnacentral:rRNA from 1 species